GUAUAAAGAGGAUGCAGGGCCCUCCACAGUUCUGCUUCAUUUCUUACCCAUGUUGGACGGGACAGUUUAACACAGGACUAUAAAAAAAGACUUGUACAAAGCUGCAUCAGAGUUCUCAGCGCUCUGGACCACAGCCAUGGUGAAACCAGAAGAUUGUGUAGUCUCUCUGCUGAAUGACGUUGCUCAGAAGUCCUUCGGCUCCCUCCUUAGGAGUGUCUCCAUUCAUCUCACCAACAACUGCAAAUCACACGUCCUGAUGAAUCCACAGGUUUACACCAGCAGUGGACACUCCUACGACCCCCCGCAGCCCACGGUGGAAAAGGGGGUCACACAAGUCUGUGCUUUUGGACAUGAGAAAGGAUGUCCCUUAGGUGCGGUGGGGGUCCUGACUUAUGACAUUGUUGACUCCCAGAAGAAAGCAAUCAAGCGUCUGGCAAUCAUGUUUUCUGUGCCAUUCAACUACGUUUCUGAUGUUAACUGGUUUGCCCUGGGUUUGUUUGACGUUGCUCAAGCGUGUGGUGAAUCUCUAUAUGAGCUCAUGUACUACCGUGAGGGACCAUUCAAGAGGGAGAAGGCGUCUGGUUCAGAAAUGAGCUUCCAAGAGGGAAAGCACACCUUGAUAGGAACCAUGUGUCCUAUGGGAAAUGCAGAAAUUAAAGUAGAACUCUGGGAUUAAGACUAAUUUGAUAAAUUUGAUCAAUUUUGAAAACAUUAUGAGCUAACUGUAUAUGGCUGAUAAAAUUGUGAUGCAUCACCAGGCUGCCUACUGACCAGAUCAGUACCAGAGCUACAGACCAAUUACCUUAACAUCUUCUGCCUGACUAUCUGAGCAUGACCAUAUAACCAUAUGACCAUUUUAUUAAUUGAUUAAAUCUAUUUUUAUAUUUUAAGACCACAAAGACCAGAUGUUUGUACCAUACAUUUCUUAACGUUGUUGUAGCCAAUGAUUAAACUGCUUUUUUUUGUCA